AAAAGAUAAUUUUUACUUCCCAAAAGUAAAUGGGAUCUUUAUACUGUAGGUUGCUGCAAAUAUCAAGAGGCAAUUUUGAAGAUAUGAGUUUAAGAAGAUAUGAGUUUAAGGGCUCCCCAGACCCAGGAAUAUGGUCUCAAAAAAGAGCAGGAUUAAAGAUGUCAUCACCUGGACCCACAGGCUGUUACCCUAGUUGCCAUUGGGCCUACAGUAAAUCCUGACCCAUCCAGGAAAACAGUGACACUCCAAAGGCUGGUUGCAACAUUUUGAAUUUAACCAACCAGCUGACUAAUCAACCUACCAGCCCU
rnacentral:lncRNA from 1 species